AGGCAAUAACAGGUCUGUGAUGCCCUUAGUUAUCCUAGGUCGCACGCGCUCAUACAAUGUAGGCGCACAACGAGUUUCCUAGAGCCGAUAGAGAUUAGUCUCUUAGCCUGUGUUUGUGGGACCGAGGCAAUAUCAUUGCACACGAGUAGUUUCGAUCAUGUGUCGUUGCUUAUUUGUGAUGCUGGUGGUUUUGUCUCAGCUAAGAGACUCUGGGCAAUCUGAGAGAGCGCUACGUGACUGGGCUAGACUUUUGUAAUUGUUGGUCUUGAACGAGGAAUGCCUAGUAAUCGUAGGUCAUUAUCCUGCGAUGAUUAUGUCCCUGCCCUUUGUACACACCGCCCGUCGCUCCUGCCGUGGCUCGUGCCGGUGAAGAGGGGGAGGCAGCGUCAACGGAGUAACAUCUGAUUGUACGUGGAACCCCUCUGAACCUUCGCGAGUAGAGGAAGGAGAAGUCGUAACAAGGUUUUCGUAGGUGAACCUGCGAAAGGAUCAUUAU
rnacentral:rRNA from 1 species